UCUCCUUGUGGCCAUAGAAACCAUGCCGGCUUUUUCUGCAACAGUGUUCUGGGGAAGGGUUAUUUAGCUCUGGCUUCUGAGGCUCCCUCCAUCACACGAACCUUUCUCCUUUCACGAGGUCGGAGCGCACCAGGCCCUCUGAGUCCCUGUGAGAUGGGAUGCCGUUCAAGCAAAGGCACCGAAGUCGUAGAGGAGUCCCAGAAACCUGGAGAUCACCCUGAGGGGGGAGAGCCGAAGGUGGAGCCUGGCGCUGAGGCAGUGAAUGGCAAGGACACCUCAGUGAAGGAAGGAGCGACUGAGCUGAAGAGCUGACCCUUUUUCUUGAGUGGACCCUCACCUCAUCCCUGGAACAGCCUUCAGCCUCAUCCAGCAAAGAGGACAAAAGAUGGCUUCGUUCUUCUUGGGCCUUUCCCACAGCUGCUGGAAAGAGAGAAACAUGUAGACUGACUUUCCUGAUCCAGACUAUAUGCUUCUGACUGUGACUGUCUCUCACGGGGUCUGCCUCCGUUUCCCAGAAUUCUGAAGGCUCUGUACCUACGACAACGAUGGGAACUAUGGAUCUUGGUUUGGUCUUAAUCUCUUUCCCCUCCUUUUCAACAGCUGACUGAACAGCCAGCAUGCCUGACAGGAAGCUUUUGCAUUUGGCUCUCUCCGUGUUGUUUGCAUGAAUAAUUUAAUAUUUAACUUGCAGUAUCAUUAAUGAAUUAUGGAAAUAAUCAGGAUUGGGCAGGAUUCCGUGAAUGGACAGCGAUAGGGGCUUGGGCUCACAACAAGUAGAGUAUUGAGCCCUGGCCGGGAGGUGGGGGGGAUUCACAUUUCCGGUUAUUAAAUCUCUGGAAGGGUCUCCCUGUUAGCUUGUCUUCUGCUAUCAAAAGUCUGUCAAUUUGAGCCCUCUAGCAUCUGAGCUGUCUGCAUCUAGCCUUAAAAAAUAUUUUGCUGUUUACUAACAAUGAGUCUGCCAGCCUUUCUUUCUCCCCCCCCCCCAAUGCGUUUUGUUUUUAAUGCAACCCCAAAGCAUUUUCCAUCUGAAAUCAAACAGACAUGUUUGCAAAUAAACGAUGACACAUCACAGUA